rnacentral:lncRNA from 10 species
AAGGGAUGAGCAAACGGAAGAGAAAGAGAAGUGUCCAGGAGGGAGAGAAUCCUGACGACGGCGUUCGCGGGAGUCCGCCGGAAGACUACAGGCUUGGACAGGUCGCCAGUAGCUUAUUUCGCGGCGAACACCAUUCCAGAGGUGGCACCGGUCGGCUGGCGUCCCUCUUCAGUUCUCUGGAGCCCCAGAUUCAACCCGUGUACGUGCCUGUGCCUAAAGUAAGUCACUGGGCUUUCUUCCCGAAUAGCUCGUUAGAACCACUUACAUACAAAGCAAUCUUCUUACCUACCGCGUGAAGCGUGAUUUCUAAAGGGGGCAGACAGGAUUCAUUUUAAGUAACCUUUCAUGACUCUUACAUACCAGUGAGAGAGAAGAGAUUCUCAUUUAGAAAGACUGAAUUAUGGCUUAGGGUCAGAAUUCUAGAAGUAUGGGGUCUCAAAUAUAACUUCAAACUUUUAAAAAGCAAACCAUCAAAAAAACGAAACGGAAUGAGGAGGAAGAAAGUACAUCCCAGAUUGAAAGACCACUUUCGCAAGAACCUGCCAAAAAAGUGAAAGCGAAGAAGAAACACACUAACGCAGAAAAAAAGUUGGCAGACAGAGCCUAGAACUGAGUAGGAACCCGUUCUCCUUUCAGAUUGAUGCUCAGACCUUGCUUAUCCAUAUCCAGCAAUACUUUAUAUUGUAUUUACCGUUUCACAAUUUACUUUUGGGAAAGCGCUCUAGCGAGUGCUGAUUUAGAAGAAGAAAUUCACCAGAAACAAGGGCAGAAAAGGAAAAAUUCUCAACCUGGUGUUAAAGUAGCAGAUAGAAAAAUACUUGAUGACACAGAAGACACAGUUGUCAGUCAAAGAAAGAAAAUUCAAAUCAACCAAGAAGAAGAGAGAUUAAAGAA